rnacentral:rRNA from 1 species
CGUAGGGUGCGAGCGUUAAUCGGAAUUACUGGGCGUAAAGCGUGCGCAGGCGGUUAUAUAAGACAGAUGUGAAAUCCCCGGGCUCAACCUGGGAACUGCAUUUGUGACUGUAUAGCUAGAGUACGGCAGAGGGGGAUGGAAUUCCGCGUGUAGCAGUGAAAUGCGUAGAUAUGCGGAGGAACACCGAUGGCGAAGGCAAUCCCCUGGGCCUGUACUGACGCUCAUGCACGAAAGCGUGGGGAGCAAACAGGAUUAGAUACCCUGGUAGUCCACGCCCUAAACGAUGUCAACUGGUUGUUGGGUCUUCACUGACUCAGUAACGAAGCUAACGCGUGAAGUUGACCGCCUGGGGAUACGGCCGCAAGGUUG